GACGUAGGGCGCGAGCGUUGUCCGGAUUUAUUGGGCGUAAAGAGCUCGUAGGCGGUCUGUCGCGUCUGCUGUGAAAACCUAGGGCUUAACUCUGGGCGUGCAGUGGGUACGGGCAGGCUAGAGUGCGGUAGGGGAGACUGGAAUUCCUGGUGUAGCGGUGAAAUGCGCAGAUAUCAGGAGGAACACCGGUGGCGAAGGCGGGUCUCUGGGCCGUAACUGACGCUGAGGAGCGAAAGCAUGGGGGAGCGAACAGG
rnacentral:rRNA from 1 species